rnacentral:rRNA from 1 species
UCGUGUCGUGAGAUGUUGGGUUAAGUCCCGCAACGAGCGCAACCCUCACCCCUAGUUGCCACCGGGUAAAGCCGAGCACUCGAGGGGAACUGCCAGCGUCAAGCUGGAGGAAGGCGGGGAUGACGUCAAGUCAUCAUGCCCCUUACGUCCUGGGCUACACACGUGCUACAAUGGCCAGUACAAAGGGAUGCGAGACCGCGAGGUGGAGCUAAUCCCAAAAAGCUGGUCUAAGUUCAGAUUGCAGUCUGCAACUCGACCGCAUGAAGGAGGAAUCGCUAGUAAUCGC